GAGUUUGAUCUUGGCUCAGAUUGAACGCUGGCGGCAUGCCUUACACAUGCAAGUCGAACGGCAGCAUGAUCUAGCUUGCUAGAUUGAUGGCGAGUGGCGAACGGGUGAGUAAUACAUCGGAACGUGCCCUGUAGUGGGGGAUAACUAGUCGAAAGAUUAGCUAAUACCGCAUACGACCUGAGGGUGAAAGUGGGGGACCGCAAGGCCUCAUGCUAUAGGAGCGGCCGAUGUCUGAUUAGCUAGUUGGUGGGGUAAAGGCCCACCAAGGCGACGAUCAGUAGCUGGUCUGAGAGGACGAUCAGCCACACUGGGACUGAGACACGGCCCAGACUCCUACGGGAGGCAGCAGUGGGGAAUUUGGACAAUGGGCGAAAGCCUGAUCCAGCAAUGCCGCGUGUGUGAAGAAGGCCUCGGUUGUAAG
rnacentral:rRNA from 1 species